rnacentral:lncRNA from 1 species
GAAGGUUUCGGCCAGGAAUUGCGUUUUGGUCUUACCCCUGUGAGACCAUAUGGUGUUACCCCAUUUUGUACUUGGGGUUGCUCUUGCUUGAGGCUGUAUCUCUGAUCCAAGGGGUGCGCUGGGCUUUCAUUAUUGGCCUUUGGGACUUCUAUGGUGUAUCUGGGCUUGACCAUUCCCCAUGUUGCCCCCUUUCUCUCUAUUGGGCUCUUAACUACUUUGUUAAAUGUUCUUUUUGAGGAUUGUAACUUAUUUUUAUUUUUUACGGCUCAGGACCCUUGGAGACGUGGGGGCAACAUGGAAAAUGGUAUGUGGGAAGAUAGUAAGCUAUCGGGUUGGUCUGAUGACCGAACCCUUAUGCGUAGAGAUGUUCGCCUAAUCUUGUAGAACCUAAUUGAUUUUUUUGUACUUGUUAAUUCAUCCUUUUAAUAAAGUCACAUGCUAAUUUUCGCCGUAAUAUGUAUAGUGCAUGUGUGAUUUUUACAUGUACAUACAUAUCGAGUUAUUCUUUAUUCUUUUCAAACUAAACAUUAGGCUACGGAAAAUUCAAAAUUUC